rnacentral:rRNA from 1 species
AGAGCGAACGCUGGCGGCAGGCUUAAUACAUGCAAGUCGAGCGCCUGUAGCAAUACAGGAGCGGCAGACGGGAGAGUAACACGUGGGAACGUGCCCUUUGGUUCGGAACAACACAGGGAAACUUGUGCUAAUACCGGAUAAGCCCUUACGGGGAAAGAUUUAUUGCCAAAGGAUCGGCCCGCGUCUGAUUAGCUAGUUGGUGGGGUAAAAGCCUACCAAGGCGAUGAUCAGUAGCUGGUCUGAGAGGAUGGACAGCCACACUGGGACUGAGAUACGGCCCAGACUCCUACGGGAGGCAGCAGCAAGGAAUUUUCGUCAAUGGGGGCAACCCUGAACGAGCAACGCCGCGUGGGUGACGAAGUCUUUCGGGAUGUAAAACCCUUUUCUGUGGGAAGAAGGAAAGACGGUACCACAGGAAUAAGCAUCGGCUAACUACGUGCCAGCAGCCGCGGUAAUACGUAGGAUGCAAGCGUUGUCCGGAAUUAUUGGGCGUAAAGGGUGCGCAGGCGGUUUUUCAAGUCAGAUGUGAAAUAUCCCGGCUUAGCUGGGAGGGGCCAUUUGAAACUGAAAGACUAGAGUGCAGGAGAGGAUAGCGGAAUUCCCGGUGUAGUGGUGAAAUGCGUAGAUAUCGGGAGGAACACCAGUGGCGAAGGCGGCUAUCUGGCCUGCAACUGACGCUGAGGCACGAAGGCUAGGGGAGCGAACAGGAUUAGAUACCCUGGUAGUCCUAGCAGUAAACGAUGAACACUAGGUGUUGGGGGAAAUUGACCCCCUCAGUGCCGCAACUAACGUAAUAAGUGUUCCGCCUGGGGAGUACGGUCGCAAGAUAAAACUUAAAGGAAUGACGG